rnacentral:rRNA from 1 species
GAUGAACGCUGGCGGCGUGCCUAAUACAUGCAAGUCGAGCGAACAGACGAGGAGCUUGCUCCUCUGACGUUAGCGGCGGACGGGUGAGUAACACGUGGAUAACCUACCUAUAAGACUGGGAUAACUUCGGGAAACCGGAGCUAAUACCGGAUAAUAUAUUGAACCGCAUGGUUCAAUAGUGAAAGACGGUUUUGCUGUCACUUAUAGAUGGAUCCGCGCCGCAUUAGCUAGUUGGUAAGGUAACGGCUUACCAAGGCGACGAUGCGUAGCCGACCUGAGAGGGUGAUCGGCCACACUGGAACUGAGACACGGUCCAGAGUCCUACGGGAGGCAGCAGUAGGGAAUCUUCCGCAAUGGGCGGAAGCCUGACGGAGCAACGCCGCGUGAGUGAUGAAGGUCUUCGGAUCGUAAAACUCUGUUAUUAGGGAAGAACAAAUGUGUAAGUAACUAUGCACGUCUUGACGGUACCUAAUCAGAAAGCCACGGCUAACUACGUG